rnacentral:rRNA from 1 species
GUGCCAGCAGCCGCGGUAAUACAGAGGGUGCAAGCGUUAUUCGGAAUUACUGGGCGUAAAGCGCGCGUAGGCGGAUUGUUAAGUCAGUUGUGAAAGCCCUGGGCUCAACCUAGGAACAGCGAUUGAAACUGGCAGUCUAGAGUUUAGUAGAGGGAAGGGGAAUUUCUGGAGUAGCAGUGAAAUGCGUAGAUAUCAGAAGGAACAUCAGUGGCGAAGGCGCCUUCCUGGACUAAAACUGACGCUGAGGUGCGAAAGCGUGGGGAGCAAACGGGAUUAGAUACCCCGGUAGUCCACGCCCUAAACGAUGUCAACUAGCUGUUGGUCUUAUUAAAAAGAUUAGUAGCGCAGCUAACGCGAUAAGUUGACCGCCUGGGGAGUACGGUCGCAAGAUUAAAACUCAAAGGAAUUGACGGGGGCCCGCACAAGCGGUGGAGCAUGGGGUUUAAUUCGGUGCAACGCGAAGAACCUUACCAUCCCUUGACAUCCAGAGAAGUUUCCAGAGAUGGAUUCGUGCCUUCGGGAGCUCUGAGACAGGUGCUGCANCNNUGUCGUCAGCUCGUGUCGUGAGAUGUUGGGUUAAGUCCCGCAACGAGCGCAACCCUUAUCAUUAGUUGCUACCAUUUAGUUGAGAACUCUAAUGAGACUGCCGGUGAUAAACCGGAGGAAGGCGGGGACGACGUCAAGUCAUCAUGGCCCUUAUGGGAUGGGCUACACACGUGCUACAAUGGUCGGUACAAACAGUUGCGAAGCCGCGAGGUGGUGCUAAUCUGAAAAAACCGAUCGUAGUCCGGAUCGGAGUCUGCAACUCGACUCCGUGAAGUCGGAAUCGCUAGUAAUCGUGAAUCAGAAUGUCACGGUGAAUACGUUCCCGGGCCUUGUACACACCGCCCGUCACACCAUGGGAGUGGGUUGCAAAAGAAGUGGGUAGUCUAACCUUCGGGAGGACGCUCACCACUUUGUGAUUCAUGACUGGGGUGAAGUCGUAACAAGGUAACC